GACAAGGAGGGAUUCUCAACAGUGGACAGUUUUUAGGCCUUGGUAGUGAAGGAAAUAUACCAGGAAAAUAUGGUUAUGAGACACUUCCUUAUGAUGUUCAACCAGCUGGCCUAACUCCUGGGGCAACAUCUACAGGUCCCAUUGGAUCACCAUACCAUCCUGCACCAUCCGGCUUUGAAAAUAAUGGGAAAGACGUAUCAAAAUAUGGUGACAGAGAAGUUCCCUAUGUUCCACAGAUUCUUGGAUUUGGGGGAGAAGCACAAAAUGCAAAAUACGCAGGUGCACAAGGAGUUUACCAGACACAGCCUCUUGAACCUGCAACUGGAGGUA